rnacentral:snoRNA from 1 species
GGAGAUGUAGUGGCUGUCCUGGAGCGUGAAACUGUCGGAUCUCGGCUGCGUCUCUGACGUGUCGAUCUGUGCUUGAUGAUCGUAUCCAUUUGCAAGGGGCAGACACAAUCUGAGUGGU